rnacentral:RNase_P_RNA from 1 species
GGGGUCGCUCCGGUUCCGUUUCGGAGCCGGGGAGGAAAGUCCGAGCUCCACCAGGCAGGGUGCUGGGUAACUCCCAGGAGGGGUGACCCUACGGAAAGUGCCACAGAAACAUACCGCCCUUCGCUAGAAGGGUAAGGGUGAAAUGGUGAGGUAAGAGCUUACCAGCGGCUGGGUGACCAGUCGGCUGGGCAAACCCCACCCGGAGCAAGACCAAAUAGAGGGUAAAGGGACGCCUGGCCCUAGCCCCGGGUUGGUCGCUUGACCUUGAUGGUAACAUCAAGGCUAGAUGGAUGGCCACCGCCCCGACUUUAUCGGGGUACAGAACUCGGCUUAUAGGUCUACUUGGCCC